GGAGGCGUGGCCGAGUGGUUUAUGGCGUUAGUCUUGAAAACUAAUUGGUCCGAAAGGGCCUCGGAGGUUCGAAUCCUCCCGCCUCCG
rnacentral:tRNA from 1 species